rnacentral:rRNA from 1 species
UAUUGGGCAAUGGGCGCAAGCCUGACCCAGCAAUGCCGCGUGAAGGAAGAAGGCUUUCGGGUUGUAAACUUCUUUGACAGGGGAAGAGCAGAAGACGGUACCCUGAAAACAAGCCACGGCUAACUACGUGCCAGCAGCCGCGGUAAUACGUAGGUGGCAAGCGUUGUCCGGAUUUACGGGGUGUAAAGGGCGUGUAGCCGGGAAGGCAAGUCAGAUGUGAAAUCCGGAGGCUCAACCUCCGAAUUGCAUUUGAAACUGUUUUUCUUGAGUACUGGAGAGGCAGACGGAAUUCCUUGUGUAGCGGUGAAAUGCGUAGAUAUAAGGAGGAACACCAGUGGCGAAGGCGGUCUGCUGGACAGCAACUGACGGUGAGGCGCGAAAGCGUGGGGAGCAAACAGGA